rnacentral:rRNA from 1 species
AUUGAACGCUGGCGGCAGGCCUAACACAUGCAAGUCGAACGAGUGGCGGACGGGUGAGUAAUGUCUGGGAAACUGCCCGAUGGAGGGGGAUAACUACUGGAAACGGUAGCUAAUACCGCAUACCAUCGGAUGUGCCCAGAUGGGAUUAGCUAGUAGGUGGGGUAACGGCUCACCUAGGCGACGCUCCCUAGCUGGUCUGGGAGGAUGACCAGCCACACUAGAACGGAGAGACGGUCAAGCCUCCGACGGGAGGCAGCAGUGAUGAAUAUUGCACAAUGGGAGCAAGCCUGAUGCAGCCAUGCCGCGUGUAUGAAGAAGGCCGUCGGGUUGUAAAGUACUUUCAGCGAGGAGGCGUUACUCGAAGAAGAAGCGCCGGCUAACGCCGUGCCAGCAGCCGCGAUUC